UGGAAGUAGGAUGAGGUAUCCUAGGUACAGAGUAUAAUGCUUUUCUAUUGCUCACCAAGUGGAAACAAUUAUAUUUCACUCGGAUAACUUCCCUCCCACUAAAAUAUGAUGUCUUCAAAUGCUUGAAUACCAGAUUCGGGGAGAAUUGUUAUUUUGCAGGUAUCUAUCUUUUAAUUUUGUUGCUUUAUUGUUUUGGUUGAAUAAUGGAGUGACUAAUUUUUUGUAAAUUUUGCAGUUUCAGAGGUGCUUAUGGAUGAGGUUACUACUCUCCGGAAUUUCUCUCUGUCCAAGGACACCAUCAAGUGAGCCGUCAAGGCUAUUACUUCUCAGAAAACUAUGGAGGUGGUAACUGAGAUGCUCAGCCCAAAGCCUUCGUCUAUCAGAGAUUUGGAACCUCCAGUUCCUACUGUCCAACCUUUCUAGGGUGUUGGUGUUGGAUCUAUUCAACCCAUUUCCUUCUGUCCUUUUGAGACAAUUGGAGCUAGUGCUAACUGCAUUGCUGUUACUUGCCACACUAGGACUCCCACUGACCACUCGGAAGCUUUGAUUGUUGUUACCUCCGAGCCUUCCUCCCCUGUUAUUGAGGUGUUUGAUGGACUAAGGAGGAAGAACUUGAGGUUUCCUUCCAAGCCAAUCACUAAUCCUUCUGAGGUUCCUAUAAAAAGGAGAAGGUUGGUGAAGGAGGCUGACUUGAGUGCAUCAAAGAAAGGUAAUGCCUCUUCCUCUUGCAAGGAAGUGUCUACUCCAACCCAUGUGAGUCGAAGCAAUGGUGACCUAUCUUUGGGUGUUGGCAAUGAGAUCCAAUAUGCCUUAGUUCCUUAUGAAUCUGGGUUUCACUUUCAACUGAACCUGAAGUCUACCCCUACCCUUUAUCACCGAGUUAUUGAAUAAUCAUGUUUUUGGGACUUCUCCAGACCUUAAUGAUCCCUGGUAGUGGGUACACUUUGCAAUAUUGUAAAAUCAAGUAAGCAAUUUGUGACUUAUAGUCCUAAAGUAGUGGAGGACAUAUUUGCUUACAUUUACUUAGGCCUCCUUUGUGGUUGCAUUUCUUAAAUGACUUUUGAACUCUACUUUUCCAUUUAUACCUCCUUAGUGCUUUGAUAGAAUUGAGGAAAAAGUGAUGAGUGCUCGCAAAUCAGCCUGUCAAGAUGUGGAAAAGGCUGAGGAUGAGGAGGUUGCUCGUGUGGCUGCCUCUGUGGAAGAUCAGCACAAGGUUGAUGUUAAUCAUUUAAAAGAGCUCCUUCAUGAGAUUCAACUAUGCAGCAACAGAGGAUCCUAGUUGGAGGCUUAAUUGGCUCAAGAGCAAGCAAAAGUAGAAGCCUGGACUGCCCAGGAGAAGGCUUAUGUGGAUCACAGGAUUAAGGGCUUCAUUGCUUAAGCUAUGGAAUUGGAAAAAGAAUUGGAGAAUAUAAAUGAGGAGCUAACUAAUGCUUGCGAUGAGUUGGCUAAGGCUCCUGAGGACAGACAUGCUUCUGAGUUGUUAAAGAAUCAGCUUAGGCAUGAAGUUUACUCUCUUUCUGAUAAGUGUAAGAAUAUGAGAUUACCAUUUUAGGUCUUCGAGAAGGUGCUGAAAUUGUUGCUUGGAGCCAAUAUAAAAAAAUUUUGAAGUCGAAUGAGUUUAAAGAGAAGGUGUAACGACCCCAAAAUGGACCGUCACUGGCGCUAGGAUUCAGGUCGGUUUAAGGCCGCCAAAACCCGUAGCAAGCCUGCUAUACUCUCUGUGUACCUGUAAAUCUCAUACAUGAUCAUACAUUUUCUGUGAAAAUAAAAACUCUUUUCUGUACCAAGGCUUAACCUGUGCAUGCACGUACUCUGUACUCUGUACCCCUGACUAGAGCUUGCUCUAGAUGGGUUAACUCAUACCUGUUAAGCCUGGUUUUUCACAUACUCUGUAAAACAUAUACAUAUACAGAUCAUGUACAUAACAAAAGAUUUACAACACAAAAUAACUAAGUCAAGCACAAUUCUAACUUUAUACACAACUAUUACAUCUCUUUCAUAUUACAUGUCCACUAUAUUCUAUUACACAACUCUUCUCUUUUCCUGAACUUUGUUGGACUUCCCCUGUACACUGUACACUGAACCUGCAAGACUGGGGUUAAGGGAGUGGGAUGAGCUCUAUAGCCCAGUGAGUAGAAUAAUAAAACAUAUCAUUAAAAUAUGAUCUCAUGGAAUGCACCAUAUCACAGACAAUCCACAUCAAGGGUAAACCUGUCAGCACAUAGUCCCGGUAACUCUGCCGUGCCAGGGCGUAGAAUCGAGCACCUGGUCUUCCUGUUAUAUAUGUAUAUGUGUAUAUAACACCUCUGUACUUACCAUUGCCAGGGCGUAGUCAAAGGCUCCUGGACUUUACUAUACCUGCCAGGGCGUAGUCAAAGGCUCCUGGACUUCUCUAUAUUUGCCAGGGAGUAGUCAAAGGCUCCUGGACUUCUCUCAAAGACUAUUGGAUCAUUCAGCAUUCACCCACAUCAACAAAUAACUAUGCAAUGCAACAUAUUCGUGGAUUCUAAUGUAAUCAACCUACUGUAUACUCAUGAUGCAUGAAUUAUGCUAAAAGCAUUUUAUUUCUCAAUUAAAAGCAUUAAGUUUAGUUCCACUCACCUCUGGCUAUCUGGACUGACUCUGCAAGCUCUGAAAACUCUGGAGCAGUACUCACUGCUGCUCUCUCUGGUUCCUCUGGUCUGUGUAAGCACAGAUAAACUCAAAUGAGGGACCAAACUAACUCAAGAACAACUCUAUUAAACUCCCCAAGACUCCCCUUAAACUCACUCUAACAUCCAUGCAAAGCAUGCAAAGGAAAGCUGGACAGGACACUUUCGGCGGCAGGUUCGGCGGCCGAAAGCCCUCUCCAGAGCCGAAACUCAAGCACCUUCGGCGGCCGAAUCUCUACUUUCGGCAGCCGAACCCUUUCGGGGGCAAGUUUCGGAGGCUGAAAGGCACUCCAGAGACGAAAGUCUCUAACCUUCGGCGGCGCCUUCGGCGGCCGAACUCCCCUCCAGAGCCGAAAGUCCAAAAGCUCUGGGGCAAGCUUGGGCAGCCGAAGCCACCUCCUCAUGGGUUCGGCGGCCGAAUGUACCUUCGGUGGCCGAACCUGAGUUCAUCCGCAAGGCAGAAACUUGCUCUGCCUCUCACCAAAAGCACAAAACUCUCUCAAACUCAAACACCUCAAUUCCUCAACUUGCAUACACCCAAGUAUAUGCUCAAAGGGGUCAAUAACUACCUACACACCCCAACAACACAAUCACAUAAUACAGAAACAAGCCUUUCUCACAAAAUUAUCAAAAAACUCUCCUUUAACCCUAUUCAUGCAACUCUCCCCCAAAACCUCAAAAAUCUUUCAUAAAUCAUGAAAACAAGCUCAGGAUCUUCACUUACCUCUUGAAACCAAGAAGAUGAACGAUCCUAACGUGGAGUUUUGGAGCAACUCUCCUUCAAACUCUCCAAACUUCAAAAUUCAAGUUUCUAACUCAAAACCUUCAAAUAAACAUAAAAAUCAAUCAAAUCUUUGCAUGAUUUAAUGAAAACAUGAAGAAAACUCUAAAAAGGACAGGGUCUCACCUCAGCAAGUCAAAGAAACGGUGAUCUUAUCGUUUCAACCGACUGAGGGCCUUUUAUAGGUGGCUGGCCAGACCACCUUCGGCGGCCACACGUGAAACCGAAAGCCAUGCAUGUUCGGCAGCCGAACCUCAACUUCGGCGGCCGAACCUGGCUUUUCUGCCUUGGUUCAUUUCACUCAAAAACUCAUUUCCUUAUGCUUUAAAACUAUGAAACAUACCAAAACAUUAUAGAACAACAUAAAGCUAACCCUUCUAGAGACUUCCGGCAUUCGAAACUCCAUCGGAAAGUAGAAUUCCGAUGCCGGACUCUAGCCGGGUAUUACAGAAGGUUUUUAAUGCCUCCACGAGAUUCUAUGCCACUAGCUUCAAGCUACAUUUUAAAGGCUGCUUAUGAUGUACCUGAGACACCUUUGAAUGCAUUACGGGUAGUUGAAUAGAUUCUGAUGGUGAAGAAGUGUAGUAUGGCCUUGACGACUUAGACCUUCCUAAAGUGCAUCCUCUUACUUCUCAGAGUGUGUUAUCACAAGAUACUAUCGAGUUUGAUUAAGAGGCCAGUCAGAUGACUUUCGAUCACCUUAUGCUUGAGGCUCUAAAUGCCCAGAAUAUUCCACCUCCAAAUGGCGCUAUUUCAUUAGAUCCAACUGUCAAAAAUGCUUAUACUUUCUCUACUGUUACUAGAGUUGAGCUUGACCUGACUGGUGAUCUUGCCUCUUCUAGUGAAGCCCAAAAUUGAUCUUAUAAGACAUGUAAAUGUUUGAAAAUUUCUGGUAGAUGUUUCAUACUUGC
rnacentral:lncRNA from 1 species